CACGGUGGAAUAGUGGUUAGCACUGUUGCCUGACAACAAGAAGGUCGUGGGGUCGUUUCCCACUUGGGACUUUCUGUGUGGAGUUUGUGUUCUGCCGGUGUUUGUGUGGGUUCCCUC